GGCGGAUGUGCUGAGGCUAUUACGAUCCUUUAUGGCAGAGGCAUACGGGGAUGCAGACGAGGCCAUGGCCCCUCAAAGAAGAGCUUCUCUGGACAGAAGUGAACACUGGAAAUUUCUAGAAGCAGUUUCGAGGCUGAGCUCUGAAAGAGGAGCCAUUGGUCUACACUUUGAAGAUGGGGUGAUAUGUGAUUGAAUCCACCACUCACCCACAUGAGCGCUGGAGGAGGUUGGGGGUGGCUAUCCAACGUCUUCAGUGUCGUUUUUCUUCACCUUUAGUGAACAUGCCACUCACCGGGGUACCCUGUCCAAUUGCUGCUGCUGGAGAACUAGAAACCAUACGUGAGUGUUGACCACAUAGCCUUGCACCAUCCAGCUCGGCUUCUGGAGAACUAGGGACCACAUAGCCUUGCACCAUCCAGCUUGGUAGUUACUAGCCCUAUGUAUUGCUUUACAUGUAUUUUAUUUUCCUUGCUUUUUUAUCUUGUAAUCUGAUCAACCCAUUAGAAUUUGGAAAUUUUAGCAAAAGCAACCCAAGUCCUGAGUUUGUCCGUUUGUUUAGCUCAUGUCAAAAGGGGAAAUGGGAAAUUGGUUUCAUGGCAAUAGAAGGACAGGGAGAUGGUCUUAGGAACUGCAGACUUCAGGGACUCAAAUGAUGUCACGGCCACAAUUUAUCAUCGCCGUGAUACCCCCUUCUUGACUUUCUGGGCCCUGCGUAGUUUUUACUUGUACACUGGCUUCCUCUCCGAGCAAGACAUCUGACCUCUGGAGGCUUGCAUGGCUGUCUCCCUCCUCUGGGUCUGUUCCUUCCUUCAGGGAAAAGGGAGGGAGGAGUGGGGAGGGGGGCAGAGAGGAGGGAAGAGAAAGGCUUAUAAGCCUCGGGAAACUUAAUAAGGCUCCGGAGUUGAGGUUCCCCUCCACCCACAAGUUGCACAGAGAGCUCCGAGCUCCUCCGGUGACUCAGCUUUUGUGAGUCAUCACCCAUGCUAGGUGACAAAUAUUCCUGAGUCACCCCCACUCCUGUUAAGCGACCAUUAUUAAACUUAUUGGUUCAUCAAGCUGAACUUGGGAGGGGCCAUUCGUUGGGCUCUGUUGUUGGUGCCCUGACUUGGGUGCACGGAUAUUUGUUCAUGUCUCCCAAAGUCUUGGACUGAUUAACACACUCACCGUUGUCAUUUCUGGGGUCCCACGGCCACCCACGUGGCCAUCAGCAUUCAGACAAAAUGUCCAGUCAUCCCAGGUGCUGGCCUUUCUGGGGCUAGCCGUGCCUGCGCCAUCAACGUUCAUCCCAGGGACUUAUGGCCAUGUAAUGGAUGGGUGGCGUGAGUACAUAAGCCCCCAUACGCAUGCGCUAAGUGACCUUUAGAAGCAGAUACGCCCUACCCACUCUCUCCAUGUUUCUUCCAGACAGGCGUGUGCACACACCCUCUGCCUACUUUUUACUAAUAAAACUAUUAAGUGGGUUUUGUUGUCUCUCUUGUGGUGUGUUCGCGCACACAGUAAGUAAUACCAUCUCCACAGGAAAACGCAGCCCUUUCUACCAGAACCUGACUGGUCCAGAUUGGGCUUUGUGUGUGGCCUGGAACCUGUCUAGAUGCACUGUCUAGAUGCUCGCCCCUGCCUGGGGGAGGUGAGUCCCCAGGAUGGGCAACCCCCACCCUCAACAGAGGGCGAAGAGAAAGUCCCUUGAAGGAAGUGCCAGGCACACAAAGGGUCCAUGGUUGAGAUGGAUGGACCCAGCAGCCGGCUGAUCCACCUGCUCUCUUCGGCAGCCUCGAGAACCUUCCCUGCCCCAUCAAAUCUCUCUUCCAGAAAAAACAACUCAGACAGUAGCAGAGCAGAGAGCUGACUCCAGGCAUCUCCACCGGCCGGGCCUGCAUGCCCUUAAAGCACCACAGUCUCCUCACCUCACACCACCUCUUUACAGCCCUGGAUUCAGGAGGAAGAACGAUGCACACGGGCCAGCCUCACUCACGGUUACCCUCCUGGCGACCGGACAGGAGCCUGUAGCCCCUGUUUUAGAUUGCCAACCCUCUUCUCUGGUUGGGCAGACACUCAGAGGGACCCCUUCUUAGGUGGGAAUCUCAGUGCCCCUUCCGGUUUCCUUUCUCAAGAGCCGCCCCCCCCUCUUAUGAGCCCCCAGAGCCUCUGGCCUCGCCAAGCUUGAGUUGUCACCACACGGAGGAGGCAUUUUGCAGGUGUGACCCAGUGGCCAGCCUAUCUGGCACACCGAACUUCUAGACAAGAAGCUUGACAUCCACGCUCCUGAAGUCAGAAUGAGGGAUUCCAAAGCGGCAUGGGGAGGGGUGGCUGCCUGCAGAUGAGUCUGUGGUCCCCAGUGUCUUCUACUGUGCAUCUACUGUACACAGAGAGGCGGUGUGAGCACUCACGGUCCAACCUGAGCUAAUGUGCCAACCAAUCACCACUGCCAGGCUUCCCCUAUGUUAGUAGUCGCACAUGUGCAAUAAAGCAGACACUGUUGCCCGAAACUCUUCAUCUCUUGUCGGAGGACGCCCGGGUAAUGACAGCAACCACAAAUGUGUA
rnacentral:lncRNA from 1 species